rnacentral:piRNA from 2 species
UGAUGAAGGAUGCUCAUGGAGUGGUGAUC